UGAGGUAUAACUCAGCGGUAGAGUAUCCGGCUGUUAACCGGAAAGUCUUGGGUUCGAAUCCCAAUACCUCAG
rnacentral:tRNA from 1 species